rnacentral:piRNA from 1 species
UACAGUGUUCCUGACGGGUGAUCUUUGGU